GAAACGACUGCUAAGACUGGAUAGGAGAUAAGAAGGCAUCUUCUUAUUUUUAAAAGACCUAGCAAUAGGUAUGCUUAGGGAAGAGCUUGCGUCACAUUAGCUAGUUGGUGGGGUAAUGGCCUACCAAGACGAUGAUGUGUAGCCGGGCUGAGAGGUCGAACGGCCACAUUGGGACUGAGACACGGCCCAAACUCCUACGGGAGGCAGCAGUAAGGAAUUUUCGGCAAUGGAGGAAACUCUGACCGAGCAAUGCCGCGUGAACGAUGAAGUAUUUCGGUACGUAAAGUUCUUUUAUUAGGGAAGAAAAGAUGGUGGAAAAACCAUCAUGACGGUACCUAAUGAAUAAGCCCCGGCUAACUAUGUGCCAGCAGCCGCGGUAAUACAUAGGGGGCAAGCGUUAUCCGGAAUUAUUGGGCGUAAAGGGUGCGUAGGCGGUUAAAUAAGUUUAUGGUCUAAGUGCAACGCUCAACGUUGUGAUGCUAUAAAAACUGUUUAGCUAGAGUUGGAUAGAGGCAAGUGGAAUUCCGUGUGUAGUGGUAAAAUGCGUAAAUAUACGGAGGAACACCAGAAGCGAAGGCGGCUUGCUGGGUCUUAACUGACGCUGAGGCACGAAAGCGUGGGGAGCAAACAGGAUUAGAUACCCUGGUAGUCCACGCCCUAAACGAUGAGUACUAAACGUUGGAUAAAACCAGUGUUGAAGUUAACACAUUAAGUACUCCGCCUGAGUAGUACGUACGCAAGUAUGAAACUUAAAGGAAUUGACGGGACUCCGCACAAGCGGUGGAUCAUGUUGUUUAAUUCGAAGGUACCCGAAAAACCUCACCAGGUCUUGACAUGCUUUUGCAAAGCUGUAGAAAUACAGUGGAGGUUAUCAGAAGCACAGGUGGUGCAUGGUUGUCGUCAGCUCGUGUCGUGAGAUGUUGGGUUAAGUCCCGCAACGAGCGCAACCCUUGUUGUUAAUUGCCAUCAUUAAGUUGGGGACUUUAGCAAGACUGCCAAUGAUAAAUUGGAGGAAGGUGGGGACGACGUCAAAUCAUCAUGCCCCCUAUGACCUGGGCUACAAACGUGAUACAAUGGCUGUUACAAAGGGUAGCUAAAGCGUAAGCUUCUGGCGAAUCUCAAAAAAGCAGUCUCAGUUCGGAUUGAAGUCUGCAACUCGACUUCAUGAAGUUGGAAUCGCUAGUAAUCGCGAAUCAGCAUGUCGCGGUGAAUACGUUCUCGGGGUUUGUACACACCGCCCGUCA
rnacentral:rRNA from 1 species